GAUAAACUCCGAAUGCCAUGUACUUAUACUCGGGAGUCAGACUGCGAGUGAUAAGAUCCGUAGUCGAAAGGGAAACAGCCCAGACCACCAGUUAAGGUCCCCAAAUAUAUGUUAAGUGGAAAAGGAUGUGGGGUUGCUUAGACAACCAGGAUGUUGGCUUAGAAGCAGCCACCAUUGAAAGAGUGCGUAAUAGCUCACUGGUCGAGUGACCCCGCGCCGAAAAUGUACCGGGGCUAAACAUAUUACCGAAACUGUGGAUGAACCUCUUUAGAGGUUCGUGGUAGGAGAGCGUUCUAAGGGCGGUGAAGUCAGACCGGAAGGACUGGUGGAGCGCUUAGAAGUGAGAAUGCCGGUAUGAGUAGCGAAAGAAGGGUGAGAAUCCCUUCCACCGAAUAUCUAAGGUUUCCUGAGGAAGGCUCGUCCGCUCAGGGUUAGUCGGGACCUAAGCCGAGGCCGAUAGGCGUAGGCGAUGGACAACAGGUAGAGAUUCCUGUACCAGUGCUAAUUGUUUAACCGAUGGGGUGACACAGAAGGAUAGGGAAUCGCACGAAUGGAAAUGUGCGUCCAAGCAGUGAGUGUGAGAAGUAGGCAAAUCCGCUUCUCGCGAAGCAUGAGCUGUGAUGGGGAAGGAAAUUAAGUACGGAAGUUCCUGAUUUCACGCUGUCAAGAAAAGCCUCUAGGAAGAGUAGUACUGCCCGUACCGCAAACCGACACAGGUAGAUGAGGAGAGAAUCCUAAGGUGAGCGAGAGAACUCUCGUUAAGGAACUCGGCAAAAUGACCCCGUAACUUCGGGAGAAGGGGUGCUCUAUUAGGGUGCAAGCCCGAGAGAGCCGCAGUGAAUAGGCCCAGGCGACUGUUUAGCAAAAACACAGGUCUCUGCAAAACCGUAAGGUGACGUAUAGGGGCUGACGCCUGCCCGGUGCUGGAAGGUUAAGAGGAGUGCUUAGCUUCGGCGAAGGUACGAAUUGAAGCCCCAGUAAACGGCGGCCGUAACUAUAACGGUCCUAAGGUAGCGAAAUUCCUUGUCGGGUAAGUUCCGACCCGCACGAAAGGCGCAACGAUCUGGGCACUGUCUCAACGAGAGACUCGGUGAAAUUAUAGUACCUGUGAAGAUGCAGGUUACCCGCGACAGGACGGAAAGACCCCGUGGAGCUUUACUGCAACCUGAUAUGGAAUGUUUGUACCGCUUGUACAGGAUAGGUAGGAGCCGAAGAGACGUGUGCGCUAGCAUACGAGGAGGCAAUGGUGGGAUACUACCCUGGCUGUAUGACCAUUCUAACCCGCCACGCUUAGCGCGUGGGGAGACAGUGUCAGGUGGGCAGUUUGACUGGGGCGGUCGCCUCCUAAAGAGUAACGGAGGCGCCCAAAGGUUCCCUC
rnacentral:rRNA from 1 species